rnacentral:rRNA from 1 species
UGCCAGACUCCUACGGGAGGCAGCAGUGGGGAAUAUUGCACAAUGGGGGGAACCCUGAUGCAGCGACGCCGCGUGGGUGAAGGAGUACUUCGGUAUGUAAAGCUCUAUCAGCAGGAAAGAAAAUGACGGUACCUGACUAAGAAGCCCCGGCUAACUACGUGCCAGCAGCCGCGGUAAUACGUAGGGGGCAAGCGUUAUCCGGAUUUACUGGGUGUAAAGGGAGCGUAGACGGUGAAGCAAGUCUGAAGUGAAAGGCGGGGGCUCAACCCCCGGACUGCUUUGGAAACUGUUUGACUGGAGUGCAGGAGAGGUAAGUGGAAUUCCUAGUGUAGCGGUGAAAUGCGUAGAUAUUAGGAGGAACACCAGUGGCGAAGGCGGCUUACUGGACUGUAACUGACGUUGAGGCUCGAAAGCGUGGGGAGCAAACAGGAUUAGAUACCCGAGUA